UGGCGCAUCCUCAACUUUCAUCUACCGCAAGCGCCGCACCGGACUUUAUGACAAACGACGACACAUUAGAUUUGGUAUUCGUUUUUGUAUAUCCUACUUCCUUUCAUACGUGAUAUGGAUAAUAGUGAUUGUUUUCUGGCAGCCGGUCGCUUGUUGAUGAGCGACACUGCUCCGGUUAGAGGACCAUCGGGACAUUCUGUGAGCCGCCGGAGGAGAGAGAGGGUCUAUAUGACUGCGGGCUUAAAGAAAGAUCUUGGAUGCGCCAAUACGUGAUAGUUUGGAAAUAUUCGUACAUAUCUGUACUUACUGAAUGCUGAAGGUCAUAUGAGCAACAGGGAUGGCUUUGCAUUGCGCAUCUGAGACAAUCUACAGUUAAUUGAUAUUUCAUGCUGACAUUACCAUAGGUUCCUUUAAGUUUUCCCCGACAGCUCCUGAGAAGGAUCCUAUGCGCACUGCGAAGAUUUUAAAAGCACACAGUCUGCGCCUCUGUUUCGGAUUAAACAACACUGAGACCUACCUAAAUGGGAUAUUUUCCCUUCGUUGAACCGCUCUUUGAAUUGAUGGGGAAACGUGCCGUUCUCCCGGAGUGAUGGGGAACCUCGGACUUUACUGACAUCGGGAACGGUUAUUCUUUGGCGCUUUUUUCCCCCUGGAAUCUGGAUGGGGCUUGUAUUCAGUCAGUGAACCUGGUCCUGAAUGAGGACCCACGUAUUGAGGUCACGCUCAGCCACAGUGGGGAGGUGUACAUGGCAAGCCAGAUCCAUAUCUCUCUACCAUAUUCAGAUGAGAUGUUUCAGAUCCAGGAGCUGUCAUCCAUGUUUGUCCAGGUAAAGACAGUGCAGGGUUUACGGCUACAGUACAACUGGAAAGGGUUCCGGCUGUAUUUACAGCUUGCGGAAUUGUGGAGGGACGACACAGUAGGGUUAUGUGGUACCUUCAAUGGUAACAUACAGGAUGACUUUCUUGCACCCUCAGGCAUGAUAGAGAGCUCUCCAAACUUGUUUGGGAAUGCUUGGCGCUUGUCAUCAGCAUGCAUACCACGGCCCAGAUUGCCUCAGUUGGAUCCGUGUGAUAGUCAUCAGCAAGCCGGUAAAACACAAACACACACACACACACGUUUAGAGAAAUGAUAAUCUGGGUGUUUUUAAAUUACUUGAUUUAGAUGGUGGGCCUUGCAAUCUGUUUCAAAUUGAUCGAUCCCUGGCUUAGGACUGAGUCAAAACUGGCUCAUGCUUCAUUUAUACUGCCAAUUUAGUUUAGAUAGCUUGCUAUGCAAAGUCAUUCAACGUAAUUUUAUGUUACAUUUAUGUUUGGUAUAUAUUUAUUUUUAUUAAUUUUAUUCAUAUGCAUUACAUGCGUAA